rnacentral:rRNA from 1 species
UACAUGGGGUGCAAACGUUGCUCGGAAUUAUUGGGCGUAAAGCGCACGUAGGCGGUUUGUUAAGUCGAUGUGAAAUCCCUCGGCUCAACUGAGGAAGUGCAUCCGAAACUGGCAGGCUUGAGUACUAAAGAGGGUCGCGGAAUUCCCGGUGUAGAGGUGAAAUUCGUAGAUAUCGGGAGGAACACCGGUGGCGAAGGCGGCGACCUGGGUAGAUACUGACGCUGAGGUGCGAAAGCGUGGGGAGCAAACAGG